rnacentral:rRNA from 1 species
CCUACGUGUGGCAGCAGUGAGGAAUAUUGGUCAAUGGGCGAGAGCCUGAACCAGCCAAGUCGCGUGAGGGAAGACGGUCCUAUGGAUUGUAAACCUCUUUUGCCGGGGAGCAAAAAGCGUUACGUGUACCGCAUCGAGAGUACCCGGAGAAAAAGCAUCGGCUAACUCCGUGCCAGCAGCCGCGGUAAUACGGAGGAUGCGAGCGUUAUCCGGAUUUAUUGGGUUUAAAGGGUGCGAAGGCGGCGGGUUAAGUAAGCGGUAAAAUUCCGGGGCUCAACCCCGACAAGCCGUUGCAACUGGCUUGCUAGAGUGGGCGAGAGGUAUGCGGAAUGCGUGGUGUAGAGGUGAAAUGCAUAGAUAGCACGAAGAACUCCGAUUGCGAAGGCAGCAUACCGGCGCGCAACUGACGCUCAGGCACGAAAGCGUGGGUAUCGAACAGGAUUAGAUACCCGGGUAGUC